UCUUGGCAACUAUAAUGUUGCUGAUUAUAGCGGGAUGUGUGUAUUGCUUUUUGAAUUAAUUCGUAUUUUGUGGUUUGCUUUAUUCCUUUGAUAACUAUGUAAGUUUAAAAAGCCAAAGUUCUAAAUGUUUGUAGAAACAACGGACAGGACAUAUAUACGCAAACUAAAAAAAAAGUGCAGUA